UACCCGCGGCCCAAGUGGUGCUCGUUAUUAUUGGGUUUAAAACGUCCGUAGCCGGUCCAGUAAAUUCUUGGGUAAAUCGACUUGCCUAACAGGUCGAAUUCCGGGGAGACUGCUGGACUUGGGAUCGGGGGAGGUCGGAGGUACUUUCAGGGUAGGGGUGAAAUCCUGUAAUCCUGGGGGGACCACCAGUGGCGAAGGCGUCCGACCAGAACGACUCCGACGGUAAGGGACGAAGCCCUGGGGCGCAAACGGG
rnacentral:rRNA from 1 species